GCUCCCUUCUCAUCUCGGCCACAUCAGCUUCCCACCGACGAGAUGGCUCCCAUGUUGCAGGCCGGCCGUUGCCUCUGCCUACCCGGCUACUCCCAUCACCUACAUUCUCAGAUCCCUCGUGCCUCCAAAUCUCCCCCUGGUUCCCGGCGCAGUUCCCAAAUCAUUCUCAGCUGUCUCGCUGCGCCUUACCCAAUCAGCGUGAUGCGCUGCUGCUACUUAUUUCUUCGAUUAGGCGUGAGAAGAGGUGGAUGCUAUGCUAUAUGGAGCGUUGCAGCUUCAGAGUGUUUCGGCCGUGGCAGCAUUGUCGAACUACAGCGCUUCCCCACCCUCACUAGGCAAGCAGCCAUGUAGCUUUAACACCUUCUAUUUUCUGGUUCAUUUAAUUAGUCAAGCCCCAGCAAUCUGCUUGAUCACUGUGUAGAAAAACGGAGUAAGUUUGUAGGUUUAUAAGAAAAUACUCUUCAUCAGAUUAAUUUUGAGUUGCACGGACACAAAGUGAUUUGGUAUGCGUGGUGUCCAGCCACCAGAAAAAUUUAGCACAAGGGUUGUGUUUCCUGCAUCACCAAAUCAAAUAUUGGAUAACCAGUUCCCUUUGAUGCCAGCUCAUUUUGAUAUUCAUAUGAGGAUUUACAGGUUCUGUUUUGUUCCAUGCUAUCUCUACUAAUUGAAGUAUUAUGGGAUUGUAGUAUGGAGAGGAUCUUUAUGUUGUUUGAUGUUUCUUCCCAAUGCAGUAAAUCGCUAUCUCUAUGGUGCAUAUAUCUAAUCUUUCUGUACUUCAACUUUAAACAGAGGCCUGAUGCCUAAACUCUUACCAACCUAUACUUUUACAGCAGCAAGACAUCGCCGACGAUGAAAUCACCCCUGAUGCCUUCUCUUUGACGUCAUGUGGCAUGGCCAAGUCAAUUAAAAGCUAACACCACCACCACUCUGCCGCUUGAGGCUGCCUCAGCCAUUCAACAAGCUAGGACGACGCUCGACCUUGGUUAUGCAGCUCCGACCACAGUUUGUAAUGCAUGAGCCUUUCUAUGGGUUGAUUGGUCUCUCAUCUGUUCCAAAUAUACGGUGGUAAUAUUGGCAUUGCUAUUUGCCUAUUUCCACAUCCUCCUCUAGACUAAAUUUAUGCAUUGUUCUAGAUAACUGCAAGAGUUUAUAGUUCAGU